rnacentral:rRNA from 1 species
GAUUCCCCUAGUAACUGCGAGUGAAGCGGGAAAAGCUCAAAUUUAAAAUCUGGCAGUGGUUCACUGCCCGAGUUGUAAUCUAGAGAAGUGUUGCUCACACUGGACCAUGUAUAAGUCUUCUGGAAUGAAGCGUCAUAGAGGGUGAGAAUCCCGUCUUUGACAUGGACUCCCAGUGUAUUUGUAGCAUGCUCUCAAAGAGUCGAGUUGUUUGGGAAUGCAGCUCUAAAUGGGUGGUAACCUCCAUCUAAAGCUAAAUAUUGGCGAGAGACCGAUAGUGAACAAGUACCGUGAGGGAAAGAUGAAAAGAACUUUGGAAAGAGAGUUAAAAAGUACGUGAAAUUGUUGAAAGGGAAACGCUUGAAGUCAGUCACAUUGGCCAGGGAUCAACUUGCUUAAGUGUACUUCCUGGCUGAUGGGCCAACAUCAGCUUUGACUGUCAGAGAAGGGUAGGGGGAAUGUGGCACCCUUCUUGGGUGUGUUAUAGCCCUCUGUCAUAUAUGGCCGUUGGGGCUGAGGAAUGCAGCGCGCCACAAGGCCGGGCUUCGACCACGUUCGCGCUUAGGAUGUUGGCAUAAUGGCUUUAAUCGACCCGUCUUGAAACACGGACCAAGGAGUCUAACAUGCCUGCGAGUGUUUGGGUGGAAAACCCGAGUGCAUAAUGAAAGUGAAAGUUGAGAUCCCUGUCAUGGGGUGCAUCGACGCCCGGACCUGAGCUUUCUAGCAAUGGCUCUGCGGUAUAGCAUGUAUGUUGGGACCCGAAAGAUGGUGAACUAUGCCUGAAUAGGGCGAAGCCAGAGGAAACUCUGGUGGAGGCUCGUAGCGAUUCUGACGUGCAAAUCGAUCGUCGAAUUUGGGUAUAGGGGC